GGAAUCUUCGGCAAUGGACGAAAGUCUGACCGAGCAACGCCGCGUGAGUGAAGAAGGUUUUCGGAUCGUAAAACUCUGUUGGUCGAGAAGAACGUUGGUGAGAGUGGAAAGCUCAUCAAGUGACGGUAACUACCCAGAAAGGGACGGCUAACUACGUGCCAG
rnacentral:rRNA from 1 species